rnacentral:rRNA from 1 species
GAUGAACGCUGGCGGCGCGCCUAACACAUGCAAGUCGAACGGCACCCACCUCCGGGUGGAAGCGAGUGGCGAACGGCUGAGUAACACGUGGAGAACCUGCCCCCUCCCCCGGGAUAGCCGCCCGAAAGGACGGGUAAUACCGGAUACCCCGGGGUGCCGCAUGGCACCCCGGCUAAAGCCCCGACGGGAGGGGAUGGCUCCGCGGCCCAUCAGGUAGACGGCGGGGUGACGGCCCACCGUGCCGACAACGGGUAGCCGGGUUGAGAGACCGACCGGCCAGAUUGGGACUGAGACACGGCCCAGACUCCUACGGGAGGCAGCAGUGGGGAAUCUUGCGCAAUGGGGGGAACCCUGACGCAGCGACGCCGCGUGCGGGGCGGAGGCCUUCGGGUCGUAAACCGCUUUCAGCAGGGAAGAGUCAAGACUGUACCUGCAGAAGAAGCCCCGGCUAACUACGUGCCAGCAGCCGCGGUAAUACGUAGGGGGCGAGCGUUAUCCGGAUUCAUUGGGCGUAAAGCGCGCGUAGGCGGCCCGGCAGGCCGGGGGUCGAAGCGGGGGGCUCAACCCCCCGAAGCCCCCGGAACCUCCGCGGCUUGGGUCCGGUAGGGGAGGGUGGAACACCCGGUGUAGCGGUGGAAUGCGCAGAUAUCGGGUGGAACACCGGUGGCGAAGGCGGCCCUCUGGGCCGAGACCGACGCUGAGGCGCGAAAGCUGGGGGAGCGAACAGGAUUAGAUACCCUGGUAGUCCCAGCCGUAA